GAUGAACGCUGGCGGCGUGCCUAAUACAUGCAAGUCGAGCGAACAGACGAGGAGCUUGCUCCUCUGACGUUAGCGGCGGACGGGUGAGUAACACGUGGAUAACCUACCUAUAAGACUGGGAUAACUUCGGGAAACCGGAGCUAAUACCGGAUAAUAUAUUGAACCGCAUGGUUCAAUAGUGAAAGACGGUUUUGCUGUCACUUAUAGAUGGAUCCGCGCCGCAUUAGCUAGUUGGUAAGGUAACGGCUUACCAAGGCAACGAUGCGUAGCCGACCUGAGAGGGUGAUCGGCGACACUGGAACUGAGACACGGUCCAGACUCCUACGGGAGGCAGCAGUAGGGAAUCGUCUGCAAUGGGCGAAAGCCUGACGGAGCAACGGCGCGUGAGUGAUGAAGGUCUUCGGAUCGUAAAACUCUGUUAUUAGGGAAGAACAAAUGUGUAAGUAACUAUGCACGUCUUGACGGUACCUAAUCAGAAAGCCACGGCUAACUACGUG
rnacentral:rRNA from 1 species